rnacentral:rRNA from 1 species
AGAGUUUGAUCAUGGCUCAGGAUGAACGCUAGCUACAGGCUUAACACAUGCAAGUCGAGGGGAAACGACAUCGAAAGCUUGCUUUUGAUGGGCGUCGACCGGCGCACGGGUGAGUAACGCGUAUCCAACCUGCCCACCACUUGGGGAUAACCUUGCGAAAGUAAGACUAAUACCCAAUGACGUCUCUAGAAGACAUCUGAAAGAGAUUAAAGAUUUAUCGGUGAUGGAUGGGGAUGCGUCUGAUUAGCUUGUUGGCGGGGUAACGGCCACCAAGGCGACGAUCAGGUAGGGGUUCUGGAAGAGGAACGGUCCCCCACAUUGGAACUGAGACGACGGUACCAAACUACCUACGGGAGGCA